rnacentral:rRNA from 1 species
AUGUGCAGUCCUACUCAGUUCACCUUGAGAGGAGUUAAAGGUAUCUCUCAUGAGUUUUCUAGUACAACUAAAUAUUCUUGCUACACCAUAAGUAGCAGUACAUGGUGGGUAUUACUGGUGACUAUGCAAACUGUGAUGGGAGGCACUGAUAAUAUGGCGAGCAGCUUGAAUGGGGGUCGUUUGAUUGCUGAAAAUUGGUCGUCGGCUAUUCAGUGGGUACAAGUACAACUACCUAGUUCCUUAGAAGCUAAUGUGUGGUCUGUGCAACAAAUCUUCAAAACUCCUGUACAAGUCUUUGACACUUGUCCAGUCCUAAAAUUAUUGCCAAGUUGUUCUGCAUCUAUUCUUCUUAUGACAUAUUUCAUGGAGGAUAACACUCAGUUGAAAUAUAAAUGGAGAGCACCCUCUUUGUUCGAAGAAUUCCUAGAGGGAGUCCCAGUUUGGCAAAAUGGUAGCAUUUGUUGUUUAUUGAGAGAAGUUACUUGUGCAGUACAUAAACAAUCUACAGAAUUGCUUUCUUGUCCACCACAUACAUGCAUACAGUGGACUUUAUCUGCAAGUGCUAAAAAUUCCUGGUUCAAUUCUUGGCUAGUGUUGCUACUGUUCGGGGAGAUUUGUUUAUUUCAAGCCUUGUCUGGCUACCAUGUUACUGGAACUCUAGUGCUAAACAAGCUCAUGGGUCUAGCACCAGCAGAUGGUAGAGGAUAUGGUGUUCCGCUUCAAGUUGAGGCCCUGGUUAUCAUUAUUUGCUAUGUGCCACUUCAAGUUGAAGGUCUCAUGGAUGUUACUCCACUCUAUGCACCCUUUGUUAACAAAAGAAGGGUCACAUCGCUUGAAUUAGUUAUUGAAGUACCUCAACCCGUUAUUCACUAUCACUUGCCACUACAGAUAGGGGUUCUCGUGUUUCUACUCACCACCUUGUUUGACUUCCUUGAUAGCAUACAGUGCAACUCUGAGAAAUUCUGGGCUGCUCCUCCAUAUUGUUCAGAACAAUCCCAAUGGUUAAUUGCAUGGGAAUUCUUUAAUGUCUUCAAUGGCAGUCCAGGGCGUAAUCUACUGUUGAUGGUCACCGACAUUUUUAAGGCAUUGUGCAAUCCUUGUGUUGUUCCCAUGUCUACUCUCCUUGGCCAGGGAUCAGUUAUAUUACAAUCGAUCUGCGCACCUCUUCUUUGCACUUGCUGGAGCUCUCUGUUAGGGGAUUCAGGUUCCAUUCUUGCAACUCAAAAUGUGGAACCAAGGGUGCUUCCUAAGGUAACAAGUUCUGCUACCAGCCUAUGUUAUCCAGGAAUCUCUCUUGUGCAUGGCCAGAGUACUCUUCAACUGGUUGGUUCUCACUUACUCUAUCUCAUGUUAGUCGAUCGAGCGAUAACAAAAGAAAGGGUACAUGUCUUUGAUCCCAAGCCUGGUUUACUCUUUUGCUCAGCUCUUGCUGUUUGUACUGGUGAAUGCCAGACCAACUUGAUUCCGGGAGAAAUAGUACCUGUCAUUUGGUCUUCUCAAAACUAUGAGUACACGGGUGCAAUAUUUUUUGGACACUUGCUCUUAGCACUUGAGUUCUAUAGAGAUGGUUCAGCUGGGUACUUCUACUCUCAGUUCAUCAUCUUCCUACACACCAGCAAAACUGAGAGUCAUCAACAACCCCAAGGGACCUAUAAAACUACAGUCAUGUUGUUGCAAGAUCUCCAACCCAUUAUCCAGCUACUUGUUUCUUUGUUGUCCGGCCUGCACGCGAAGGAAAAGGUGCAGCUCUGCACAUGCCAACAUGUUCCUCCUGGUGGUCCAAUCGAAAAUAUUAAGAAAAUUGGCAUUGAGUCGGGACGAUUGAACAUGACCAAGCACACUAGGGAGGAUCGCAAUUUCUUUCAUCAACUUGUGAUUCGCGGUAUGAUCAUCCCCAAGGACAUACUACUACCAUAUGAUCCAGGUGGGUUGGCUCUUCGGUCUACAAGUGUGGCAGCAUUCUUGAUUCAAGGAUGUUCAUCAUCGGCUUGA